rnacentral:tRNA from 1 species
GCCCCUAUAGCUCAGCCGGUUAGAGCAGCGGACUCAUAAUCCGCCGGUCCUCGGUUCAAGCCCGAGUGGGGGCA